rnacentral:rRNA from 1 species
AGUGAACGCUGGCGGCAGGCCUAACACAUGCAAGUCGAACGAGUGGCGGACGGGUGAGUAAUAUAUCGGAAUCUACUCUAUCGUGGGGGAUAACUUCGGGAAACUUUAGCUAAUACCGCAUACGAUCAGAUGAGCCGAUAUGGGAUUAGCUAGUUGGUGGGGUAAAGGCCCACCAAGGCGACGAUCCCUAGCUGGUCUGAGAGGAUGACCAGCCACACUGGAACUGAGACACGGUCCAGACUCCUACGGGAGGCAGCAGUGGGGAAUAUUGGACAAUGGGCGCAAGCCUGAUCCAGCCAUGCCGCGUGUGUGAAGAAGGCCUUCGGGUUGUAAAGCCCUUUUGUUGGGAAAGCGUUACUCAAAGAAGAAGCACCGGCUAACUUCGUGCCAGCAGCCGCGGUAAUAC